rnacentral:rRNA from 1 species
AGCAGCCGCGGUAAUUCCAGCUCCAAUAGCGUAUAUUAAAGUUGUUGCAGUUAAAAAGCUCGUAGUUGAAUUUCGGGGUCAAUAUGCUGGUCGUGCCAUUGGUACGUACUAGUAUUAUUGGUUUCUUCCUUCUGAUGGAUCAUGAUGUCAUUAAGUUGAUGUCAUGGGGAAUCAGGACUGUUACUUUGAAAAAAUUAGAGUGUUUAAAGCAGGCUCGCGCUUGAAUACAUUAGCAUGGAAUAAUGAAAUAGGACGUUUGAUUCUAUUUUGUUGGUUUCUAGAAUUGACGUAAUGAUUAAUAGGGAUAGUUGGGGGCAUUAGUAUUCAAUUGUCAGAGGUGAAAUUCUUGGAUUUAUUGAGGACUAACUACUGCGAAAGCAUUUGCCAAGGAUGUUUUCAUUAAUCAAGAACGAAAGUUAGGGGAUCGAAGACGAUCAGAUACCGUCGUAGUCUUAACCAUAAACUAUGCCGACUAGGGAUCGGAUGAUGUUAAUUUUUAAUGACU